rnacentral:rRNA from 1 species
UACAGAGGGUGCAAGCGUUAAUCGGAAUUACUGGGCGUAAAGCGUGCGUAGACGGUUUCGUAAGUCGGGUGUGAAAUUUCGGAGCUUAACUCCGAAACUGCAUUCGAUACUGCGGUGCUUGAGGACUGGAGAGGAGACUGGAAUUCAUGGUGUAGCAGUGAAAUGCGUAGAGAUCAUGAGGAAGACCAGUGGCGAAGGCGGGUCUCUGGACAGUUCCUGACACUGAGGCACGAAGGCCAGGGGAGCAAACGGG